AGGGAAUAUUGGACAAUGGGUGCAAGCCUGAUCCAGCCAUGCCGCGUGCAGGAAGAAGGCCUUCUGGGUUGUAAACUGCUUUUGCCAGGGGAUAAAAAGCCCAUGCGUGGGAAAUUGAAGGUACCUGGUGAAUAAGCCACGGCUAACUACGUGCCAGCAGCCGCGGUAAUACGUAGGUGGCAAGCGUUGUCCGGAUUUAUUGGGUUUAAAGGGUGCGUAGGUGGUCUAUUAAGUCAGUGCUGAAAUAUCCCGGCUUAACCGGGAGGGUGGCAUUGAUACUGAUGGACUUGAGUGGAGUUGAGGUAGGCGGAAUUGACGGUGUAGCGGUGAAAUGCUUAGAUAUCGUCAAGAACACCGAUAGCGAAGGCAGCUUACCAAGCUCUAACUGACACUGAUGCACGAAAGUGUGGGGAUCAAA
rnacentral:rRNA from 1 species